AAAAGGGCUCUUUAGAAGUGUCUGUAGUGGCUGGAUGCCACGGCUGCCUCUUCGUGAGGCACAAAGCAGUAUCGUGGCAGAAGGCUCAGGUAAGUGGCUCCUGUUUGCAGAAAACACUUAUUUCACCUAUACACUUUAAUUGCCAGGAUCAUCACUGUUUGCAGUCCUGCCCAUACCCYGGGAAACCCCUUCCUGUUUGUUCGGCAGUGCCUCCGACCCUGUUUGCAGCUGGAAAUGGGACCAGCACAACCUGAGAGCAGUAGUGCAGUGAGGUGCUCCUGGCAGGACAAUUCCCUGACAGGUCUGCUGGAAAAAAAMCACAGACAAAAGAUACUCACUACUGCCUCACCCACCUCCACCAAGGCCUCAUCUCAGAUGCAUUUGGAAGCUGGCUUGAAAUGCAGAGACCUGCUUGCUCUUGGGCUGCCUUGCUCUGAGCACAUCRCGCUGGCAUUGGCUUUGAUCUGUAAAACCCACAACAUCCUGAGGCUGGCCUACCUGCAAGGAUGACUCUUAUCCUCUGCCAAGCAGCUGUUCAGCAUCAGCAGAAGCAUUCCUGCUGACACUCCCUCUGUGUAAGAGAGGGAGCUGCUGGCAGAGCCCUUGGUAGCAAGGCCCCUUGGUAAGAGUGCCUUGUAUUCCUUCCAGUCCCUGGGGGGCUCAGGUUCGUUGCUUGCAGGCCGUGUUGCAAAGUUCGUCUCUUUACACUCUUGGAAAAGAUGCAAGGAGUCCUCAUUCUUCUCCAUAGAAUAGUUCUUCUCCUGCUUUAAUUUUUUGCUGUUUGGGAUAGACACUGCUAUGUGGGAAGAGUUGUUGAUUUGCCUGUCUAUUUUGACCUGUGCUCUUCAAAAUUCAGGGUCUGGAGAAGCUACAUUCUCAUUUUGUUACCACAAAUCUAAACAGAUUUUCAAAAGAUAGCAGACCAAACACAUGACCAGUUUUUGAAGUCUUUAUUCAGCUUUUCUUGCUGAAGGCAGCUUUCUCACUGAUGUCUCCCAGACUUAGGCAGUAAAAAAUCAGAGAGGCAACUGGUUAAGGACAGCAGAAUAUGGCCCACUGCCCUUAGCCCAGGUAGAAGGAGCAGAACACACCAGUCAAUCACUGUUUGAUACCUGGACUUAUAAAAAAGCUCACUGAAAUAGUAUGUACAAAUGUGUAGUGCAUCUAAGAUUCUGAAGCCAACACAUCUCCCCACUCCAUGGAAAUUGCCUGGUAGAGACCGUAAAGAUAUGCUGCUCUUUGUGUGGUAUAUAAAGAAUAUCAAUACUGAAAGAAUUUAUGUAUGAUCCAAGAAAUUUUUAAUAAAGUAUAUGUUCUCUGGCCA
rnacentral:lncRNA from 1 species